rnacentral:lncRNA from 1 species
AGUGUAUGCGUGUAUGGGUGUUCUCUGCUGCGGUGCUCCGGACUCCAGUCGGAAAAAUAGAUCGUGUCGAUCGUGUUGCACUCCGUCGCAGGACAUUUGCAGCAUUUGUGUGGUGAUUUUGUUGUUCUGUAGUCAUCCAUUGGCGUUAUCGCCGCUGUGUGGUGUCAUGACAAAAUCGAUUGGCUUCGCCGCAAACCAUGCUGGCCUGAAGGAGUCGUCUGCACAAAUGGGGAGCCAUCAAAGUUCAAUGGGGGCCUGUACCCUCCCAUCUGGUCCACAAGACACUGCCUUCUACAAAGAGCCGCAAAAGCAGUGUGCCCUUGUUCUGUCCAUCUCGCAUGUUCCGCAAAACCAGGAUGUCCAUAACCCUGAUCUGAAAUAACCAUGGUCAGCUGAUGAUCCUGUGAUUUAGCGAACUCCUCUGCAGAGAACAGGGCUCACAUUAGUGAAAGGUCAUUUUCAAGUGUGGCAAGUCUUCGAGUGGGAAACGCUGUCCACGGUACAGACCUUUACGGAACAAGCCUUCAAGCAGCGGCCACAUGCAAUGCAGCUCUGUACGAAGCAAGUCAUAAGACAAAGGAUGAUGGGCUCUAUGGGGAUCUUGCCCACCAGAUGUAUGACGUGACAGCUCCCAGUUUGAGCACACCACUUGAGCUGCAAGGCACAACGGUCGAGAGAAACAGCAACAAGGAUGCAGUUACGAGGCCACCAGACAGCUCCAUGCCUUGCACAGACCAGCAACAGCCGCGAAAUAGAUACGACAAGCGGCGGUGGCGCCGUGAUGCGUGCCCACUCUCGGCUACCAGCAAGUUCCGUUUAACGCCACACUUUUCGAAGCACUAUAACCAGAGAUGUUUCAGCUGCACCGUCUGCGCGAAAGCAUUUUCCAAAAGCGUUCACCUGAUCGACCACAUGCGCACGCACACGGGAGAGAGACCGUUCAGGUGCAACAUCUGCCUGCGUCAGUUUACGCAGAAGUCUGCGAUGGUGCGUCACAGGUUGCAGGUGCACAAGCAGGGCAAGGACGACCAAGGCGGAGCAUCACUUCAUGUGCUUCACUUGUAGCAGCACCCAAGAUUUUUGGCAGUUUCUGCAAGAGAGAAUCUCUCGUUGAAGAGAGCUCUCAAAAGUGUGACUGUAAAGUACAGUUCUUCUUGUUGGUGUGAGUGAUACUGCAUAGCUCCGCAAUCUCUCUGGCAAGUUGGUGUCUACAUUGUUGCCAGUUUUGUGAGCCUUGCGAAACGCUUUAAUAACCAGAAAGAGAUUCUCCAGACGUAUUUUGCUGUGGUCGCAUCAGUGAUGCCCCAGCCCCUUCCCACCUUCUCCAAGUUCUACUACCCAAAGAACUUCACAAGUUCAUUCACUUACCUGGACAGAAAUAAUAUAUCACCUGUGUGCUUUUGUUUCAGAUUACAUUAUGUCUUUUUACUUGCUAUACUGUGAACCUGUGGCCUACAAAAUUAUGCUCUCAACUGUACAUUAACUAUUGUGAGAUCGAAACCUCAUUUUGAGCGAAACUAAGAGGCCACUAUGAUGUAUAGAGGCUGUUGCCAGAUGCCAGGCAUCAACAGUGUACGUGAAUUUGUAAAGUUUGCAGCCACUAGUCAGUUGUGUUGGCAGGGUACUGUAGAUUUUCAGUGGUGCCACCUAUUUGACGUUCCACUUAACACACUUGCAAUUUGUUUCAAGUCACUAGGCUAGUCUUGUUAUGGGCAGCAAGUUAUUCCCAUUGAUGGCAUGUGAUUGUCAGUGUAUGAUAUCAGUGGCAGGUUAUCGUUGCAUAUUAACUGAAACUGCAUGGUAAGUUGCACCUAUACCAGCAAAAUAUCAUGCUUGUUGCACGCAUCUCUUGUUUUAUUUUGUUGCAUCAGCACUAUGGAACAUUAUUCAGAGACAAUUAAUACUUGUUUAAUUAUCAUAACCUAUGAUAACAACCAUCUAGUCCAGACAGCAAAUAGCUUACUAUUUAUGAAGCAUUUAUUUGCAGCCAUAUUAUGCUUAUGUAUUUUACAUAAUCCAUGCACUGAAAAUUGCAGAUUAAUUAUGCUAACGACCAUGUAAUGGAAAGUGGGUUUCCAUCUGGCAUAGUGAAGAAGUCUAGGUUGGCAGGUUUUUUGGAAGCUCCAAACAUUAAAAAAAAACUAAAUCUGCCAUUUUAGGCUAGCCUUUUACUUUAAGCUUAUGUCUCCUGCAGAGUUUUUUUUAUUUUUGAGGAACAAGAUGUCGCGUGGCGAGGUUCUUUUCUGAAGGACUUUCUUCUCUCCCUUACUCUGCUUUUUUAAUUUUUAAUGCUUUGGUGUCUUUGUAAAAAGAACUACAACUCUUAAAUCAUUGGAAGCAGCCACUUAUCAUGCUGCCAGUAGGUGUUCCUAUGUGAUCAAUGAAAAUCUGUAUUUCAUAGAACCCAGGAA